rnacentral:rRNA from 1 species
CCUUUGUACACACCGCCCGUCGCUACUACCGAUUGAAUGGCUUAGUGAGGUCUCCGGAUUAGCUUUGGGGUGUGGGCAACCGCGCCCUAUCGCUGAGAAGCUGAUCAAACUUGGUCAUUUAGAGG